AACGAACGCUGGCGGCAUGCCUAACACAUGCAAGUCGAACGAGACCUUCGGGUCUAGUGGCGCACGGGUGCGUAACGCGUGGGAACCUGCCCUUAGGUUCGGAAUAACUCCCCGAAAGGGGUGCUAAUACCGGAUAAUGUCUUCGGACCAAAGAUUUAUCGCCUUUGGAUGGGCCCGCGUUGGAUUAGCUAGUUGGUAGGGUAAAAGCCUACCAAGGCGACGAUCCAUAGCUGGUCUGAGAGGAUGAUCAGCCACACUGGGACUGAAACACGGCCCAGACUCCUACGGGAGGCAGCAGUGGGGAAUAUUGGACAAUGGGCGAAAGCCUGAUCCAGCAAUGCCGCGUGAGUGAUGAAGGCCUUAGGGUUGUAAAGCUCUUUUACCCGGGAUGAUAAUGACAGUACCGGGAGAAUAAGCUCCGGCUAACUCCGU
rnacentral:rRNA from 1 species